GUGCAUGCGGAAGGAUCAUUGUCGAA
rnacentral:rRNA from 1 species